AUGGCCUUUCCUUGCCCCAUCAUCUUCUUCAGGUCCAUGGCUGACACUGCCAGACAGACAGCACUCAAAAAAUGAUAUGGCCAUAAUAUAGUUUGAAUGCAAGACUCUUAAUAGUCAGACAGAUAGAAACAAACAGAACAGACAACAUCUGAAGGAGUUCCAGACCCUCUCAUAGCAGUAGAGGCUUGUCAGCUGACCUCUGUCCUAUGUGCUCAGCAGCCCCAUGUCUUUAAGAAGAGUCUAGAACAGGAUGCUUUUAAGGUGGGUUUGUUGGCACAAAGGCUUCAUGGGACAUGUCCUUCAGAUGCAGGGCACCAGACUGUGAAGCCUAGCGGUAAGAUUUGUGGAGUGUAUGCUGGAAUAUUGCUUCCUUUUUUUGAGCCCUCUAAUUCCAUGUUCAUGUCUCCCGAGGGACUGGGUGAUGAAGUAGGGGGGUGGGGCGAGGUGAACUUGCCCCCAUGUGCCUCAGUUGUGCCCUUUUCUGGGAACGGCCCCUCCUGCCCACAAUAACUGCAGAAGAGGAGCCUCCAGACCAGACUCCUUCAGUGUUGGUUGCUCCUGAGCCCUCAUCCUCCUCCUGAGCACUGGAGGGUCAGCAGUGAGAGGAGGAAUGUGGGCUGGGGUACCACGGGCUCUGGGUUUCUUUGAAUUUGUCUUACUUGGCCUUCCCAGCCUCUACUUUGUCUGACAAGGUCUCCCUCUGAGAUCCAGAGACUAUCAAGGGAGCUGAGUCCUCAGAUCUGAGGCCCCAGAGCCAGAGCCCCUCAAGGAGUACCCAAAGUACCGAGUAUUGUGCUGACAUUCUCAUCAAGGUUCUCUUGGUGUUGAUUGUGGAUACCAGGAUUUAGAGUGCAGAGAAGGGUCACCACAUGAAUCAGCUCUUCUCUCUGCACAAGAAGCACAGAUGUGAUACUCUAGCCUGCUAGUCUUGACCACAGUGCCUAUGAGGGCUGAAAGCCCCAUGUCUAUCUUUCCAGGCCUGGAAUGACUAAUAAACUCUUCCUCUAGAUUUA